rnacentral:rRNA from 1 species
CAAUAGCGUAUAUUAAAGUUGUUGCAGUUAAAAAGCUCGUAGUUGGAUUUCUGGUAGGAGUGACCGUUCCGAACUUGAUUGUUCGUGUAUUGUGUUUUCUCCAGCCAUCCUUGUGGAGAACUUUUCUUGCAUUAAUUUGUAGGGAUUGGGACCCGCAUCGUUUACUGUGAAAAAAUUAGAGUGUUUAAAGCAGGCAAUCGCUUGAAUACAUUAGCAUGGAAUAAUAAGAUAGGACUUUGGUACUAUUUUGUUGGUUUGCAUACCAAAUUAAUGAUCAACAGGAACAGUUUGAGGAUAUUCGUAUGAACAUGUCAGAGGUGAAAUUCUUGGAUUUUGAUCAGACGAACUACUGCGAAAGCAUUUAUCAAGGAUGUUUUCAUUAAC